GAUGAACGCUGGCGGCGUGCCUAAUACAUGCAAGUCGAGCGAACGGACGAGAAGCUUGCUUCUCUGAUGUUAGCGGCGGACGGGUGAGUAACACGUGGAUAACCUACCUAUAAGACUGGGAUAACUUCGGGAAACCGGAGCUAAUACCGGAUGAUAUUUUGAACCGCAUGGUUCAAAAGUGAAAGACGGUCUUGCUGUCACUUAUAGAUGGAUCCGCGCUGCAUUAGCUAGUUGGUAAGGUAACGGCUUACCAAGGCAACGAUGCAUAGCCGACCGGAGAGAGUGAUCGGCCACACUGGAACUGAGACACGGUCCAGACUCCUACGGGAGGCAGCAGUAGGGAAUCUGCCGCAAUGGGCGAAAGCCUGACGGAGCAACGCCGCGUGAGUGAUGAAGGUCUUCGGAUCGUAAAACUCUGUUAUUAGGGAAGAACAGAUGUGUAAGGAACUGUGCACAGCUUGACGGUACCUAAUCAGAAAGCCACGGCUAACUACGUG
rnacentral:rRNA from 1 species